rnacentral:rRNA from 1 species
CACCUUUUGAUAAAAGGCCCAGCCUGCCCAGUGACGUUCAACGGCCGCGGUAUCCUAACCGUGCUAAGGUAGCGUAAUCACUUGUUUUCUAAAUAAAGACUAGUAUGAAAGGCACCACGAGGAUUAAGCUGUCUCCUCUCUCUAAUCAGUGAAUCUAAUCUCUCCGUGCAGAAGCGGAGAUAACUUUAUAAGACGAGAAGACCCUAUGGAGCUUUAAACAUUAUCACAAUGCCACACUGAUUUUAUGUUUUAGGUUGGGGUGACCACGGAGAACAAAUCAUCCUCCGUAAUGAAAAACAACAAGCCACAGCUUUAACAAUCAAAAAUUUGACAUACAUUGACCCAAUAUUUUGACCAACGAACCAAGUUACCCUAGGGAUAACAGCGCAAUCCACUUCAAGAGCCCCUAUCGACAAGUGGGCUUACGACCUCGAUGUUGGAUCAGGGUAUCCUAGUGGUGCAGCCGCUACUAAAGGUUCGUUUGUUCAACGAUUAAAACCCU